rnacentral:rRNA from 1 species
AUUGAACGCUGGCGGCAGGCCUAACACAUGCAAGUCGAGCGGAUGAAGGGAGCUUGCUCCUGGAUUCAGCGGCGGACGGGUGAGUAAUGCCUAGGAAUCUGCCUGGUAGUGGCGGAUAACGCCCGGAAACGGGCGCUAAUACCGCAUACGUCCUGAGGGAGAAAGUGGGGGAUCUUCGGACCUCACGCUAUCAGAUGAGCCUAGGUCGGAUUAGCUAGUUGGUGGGGUAAAGGCCUACCAAGGCGACGAUCCGUAACUGGUCUGAGAGGAUGAUCAGUCACACUGGAACUGAGACACGGUCCAGACUCCUACGGGAGGCAGCAGUGGGGAAUAUUGGACAAUGGGCGAAAGCCUGAUCCAGCCAUGCCGCGUGUGUGAAGAAGGUCUUCGGAUUGUAAAGCACUUUAAGUUGGGAGGAAGGGCAGUAAGUUAAUACCUUGCUGUUUUGACGUUACCAACAGAAUAAGCACCGGCUAACUUCGUG